ACACACAUUUUAUGUGUGUACAGACGAAAAAAAAGAUUUCCCUUCCACUCAUAUCGUAUCAUAUUGUGCUCACUUCUGUGUCUCUACCCAGCCCAAUAUAAUAGUUGGCCGCCAUAUUGCUACAGCUGCAGUCGACGUCGUCAAAAUCCGUUUUUAAGUGAUCGUCAAAGGAGAAAAUAUCGUAUGUAAGACUGGAGUAUGUACCGCGCCUUCAGACUUUCAAAGCUUGGCCACCUUCCAGUGGUCACAACUAAAUCAUUAUCGCUGCGAACUGCUUGCGAGAUCGUUAAAAUAUGGACACAAAAUGGUGUACACGCACAGAAAUAAUCAUUAUCCAUGAAAUAUUAAAUCAAACAAAUAUUUACCAUAUUUUAAUGGAAUAUUAUUAUUGUUUAUAUUUUAUGGUUUUUCUUUCAAUGAUUUGUUUAAAGAGUUUACUUAUAUUAAAUCGGUAAAUAUUUAUAAUUUACAUUUUACUACAUUAAAGUUCUCUACGGGUGUUCGGC